AUUGAACGCUGGCGGCAGGCCUAACACAUGCAAGUCGAGCGAGCGGCGGAAGGGUGAGUAAUGUAUGGGGACUGCCCGAUAGGGGGGGAUAACCACUGGAAACGGUGGCUAAUCCCGCAUACUAUCGGAUAACCAAUAUGGGAUGAGCUAGUAGGUGGGGUAAAGGCUCACCUAGGCUACGAUCUCUAGCUGGUCUGAGAGGAUGAGCAGCCACACCGGGAAUUCUACCCGGCCCAGACUCAUACGGAGGCAGCAGUGGGGAAUAUUGCCCAAUGGGCGCAAGCCUGAUGCAGCCAUGCCUCGUGUAUGGAGAAGGCCCUCGGGUUGUAACGUACUUCCAGCGUGGAGGCGUUACUCGCAGAAGACGCACCGGCUCACUCCGUGCCAGCAGCCGCGGUAAUAC
rnacentral:rRNA from 1 species